GGGAAGAGCAGAAAUACGUCAAGCUGUCUGAGCUGACAUUCAAUGCUUUCUUGAAAGAAGUGUGUCUAAAAUUCAACAUACCAGAAAGCAGAAAGCCAGACAUUAAGGUGUAUGACCAGUCUGACACAGAAGUUGACUCAGAUGUUUUUGAAGAAUUAGUAAAGGAGUCACCUGGAACUUUCAGAAUCAUGCUGGGCAAUGGACUUGAUACCUCUCAUUCAUCAUCAUGCUCGGGUACAUCUGAUGACACCAUCAUUCUGAAUUUCACUGUGUGUGACGAUGUUGAAGAAGUAGCGGCU